ensembl:lncRNA
CCCCACCCUCUUUUCCUUCUUCUUCUUCUUCUUGUGGCCGUUGACUCAGAAGGCGGAAGAGGAGUCACCAAGGCGACGAGACUCGCCGACAGUCGGGACCAAUUAGUCUGAGCGCUCGGCAGCCGCAUCGUCUGCUGCGAUAAGUCACGGCGCUGACGGACGAGCUGCCACUCGGCCGGCGAGUCAGAGGAGACGGACGAGCGGUCAGGACGCCUCGCCGUUUUAGACCUUUUAGUCCUUUUAGAUGCAAGCAAUCACUUGAAUCUAAAAGCUUUCAGGCUAAAAGUGUUGGAGCUUGAUUUGCUACAUUUAUUUAUUUAAAAAAUAAAAGAAAUCAGCUUCUAAAAGAAGAGAUCUGAUAAUGAACAAUGUGUUGCACAAAAGCAUUACACUCACAAACCAUGUUUUGUCAAAUGAAAAAUUCAAAUCAAGGAGCAUUCUGGGAGUUCACGUCUCGGCCGGAGCUGCAAAUCAUCUACGAUUGUUGCUUUAACAAUAGAUAAUGUUUUGAAAUGCUGAGUCUGCAUCGGCUGAUGGACAGUUAAAGGGUGCGUUUGGGUUUGUUCAAGUAAUUAGCUUAUGAAUCAAAGCAAAACCACACACACACGCAGUGUUUUACAAUUAUUUGGCCACACAAAUGACUGAUUACUUGUUGAGCGAGUUGUUUUCCCAUUUUUGGGAUAUUAUAAUAACAAGUAGACAAACCAAGCCGAUGAGCAGCGACGGCGGUUUUAUGUAAAAUGAAUUUAACUUCCUACAACAACUGAAUAAUAAAUAUUUUCACAUACACAUUAAUCCUUAGAGAUUAGAGGCUAAAAACCCAACAAAAGUUGUGGCGGUUCACACGCAACAGAAACGGCGAUAAAACACAAUAGAUAUUAAGUUGUUUUACAGCGGUCAGUGGAAAAGGGGGGGGGGUUGUCUCAUCGUGAAUUCUUCCUCCUAACGUCCCGUCUCUGGGGCCCCCCUGUGGCCCCCCUCAUGAAUCACUCCUGCUUCCUACCCUCGUCGGGACUGGUGAGCGUUCAGGCGGUUUGGAAACCGAAGUGAGGCUACGCGUGGCGCUCGCAGCCCUUUGCUCCGUCCUUUUACAGACAAACCAGCACUCAGCAUUCAGACCCAAUGUAAAUAAGAGGCUUCUCCGCUCCCUUUAUGGCUUAUUGAUUUUUUAGUUCGAUGCCCGGCUGCAGACAGAAAUAGCAGAAAAAGAGGAGAGGGAGGGACGGAAAGGAGGACGGAGAGGAUUGUUACGGAAUAUGAAGCAGCAGCGUGUCAGAGGCACAUUAAUGGCACCUAACACGCAAACGCAAGCCAGCCAGGACGCCGACGUACAGAUCUUCAUUAGUGUGGAAGUUGUGUCAUUCCUCGUCGAGCAUCUCGUGCGUGGCUCCACUUUGGCUCCCAACAGUAUCAAUAAUAUUAAGUAAGUCUCUAUAAAUUGUAUUUACCUCAAAAGACAUAAAGAAAUACUAAAUGUGAUACAGAUAAACUUUGGGGCAAAAAAGUUCUACUCAUUGAGAACAAAGAAGAAAAUGUCACCAGAUUUUGAUUCAAAUAUUGCUUCACCCUGCGAGGAGGGAAGGGAGAUCUCCCAGGUGUGUGUGUGUGUGUGUGUGUGUGUGUGUGUUUGCAGCAGCCAGAAGUGAACUGCAGUGACAGCAAACAUCAGCAUUGUCACAACACAACAGGAAGUCCUCACACACCAAUGCAAGCAGGCAGGUAAACACACACAGACACACACAAGGCUUCAGUCAGCAGCAGAGAUCUGCUGAACCAACAGCUCCGGGCCGGGAGGGAGGAACUGGGGGGGGGGGGGGGCCCACAGGACAAAAAUAAACAAUCUGACAAAAAGAGACACAAGGGACGUGACACAAAGGGGGGGGCACAUGAGUGCACUAAAUAUGACGCUUGAAGUAAAAAUAAACCAGGGCUAAAAGGCGGUUAACGAUGCAUGGAAAGACGAAAGCAACAGAUGAAGGACAAGGGUGGAGGAACUCCAUCCGGCUUCUUCAGCUCCACUUCUCUUCGUUUGCACUACGGCCCGAAAGCUCCUACCGGAAUAAUGAGCUCCAACCUUUAUGGCUUUAAGACAGCGAUCAUUAACCGUUCCCUCGGCCUGAAAUAGCAUUGACUUGAUGCUAAUUGUAAUAAAUUGCACAGAAAAUAGCUGCAGGACAAUGUUGGCUUUGAAACACGGUGCUGUGUGUAAUUAUAUUAUAAAACGGGUGUAUUCUCAUGACGUAAUCCACGUUUUUCUCAGGCCACCUUCGGGCAAAAGCUAAAGUGUCGCUUAAAAGCGAACGUUUCCACGACGACUGGCCGACGGAGAGCCCCACGUCAAUCACAUCCACCGACUCUUCGGUUCCCUACGAGCAAAGGGAAAGUGGCUCAACGGGGCUUCUUUGUUUCCCAGAGUUAAUUCACCAAACGCGUCUUCUCAACAGGAAAAAGGCAACUUAAACCAAAGCUCCGUCACACGUGUUUUUGAUCGGCCUUCAAUCGCGGAACUCGAGUCCGGGGGCUCGUCCGCCCACGCCCCUCAUCCGACAUCUGCCCUUAACCCUUCGCCAGGGUCACGGGAUUGCGAGUGCGGGCGUUUCGGGUGCUCGUGUCCAGUUGGGACCGCGCGGGACGCUUUGACGUGCACCUUCCCCCGCGUGCCGAUGAAAAGACCCCCCAGAGGCCCCAUUCAUGUGGGCCGAGGCCUCUUAAGUGGACCGAGGCACUCGCUCCGCAGCGCAGAGAGGGGGUCCAGGUGCCGAUUAAAAGGAAGAAGGAGACAGAGAAAGACAGUGGAUGGCGAGCAAGGGGAAGGGGACGUGCAUUGAAGGGAAGAGACGGGGGGAGAAAUCCUCUCUUGGAGGUACAAAUGCUCCUUCAAUGCUUUUGGCCCUUGGCUCUGAGUAGAGGGUGUGGGGGAGGAGGGGGGGGGGGGAUUCUGAUCCUCAUUAAAGGAGCACAAAGAACAUCAAAGAGCGACCCUGAACCCCUAUCAGUCAGGAGCACCCACAAUCCCCCAUGGUAUUAGAAGUCCCGGGCGUGUUCAGUGUUCGGGUCCUGAGGUGUGGGGGGGCGAGGGGCUCCGGGGGACUCAGGCUUUGGGGAACUUUAAGGCCCCCGAAGGUCAGUGGAAAGUUCAAGCUAACUUCUUCUCCCCCCUCCAGUGAUUGGCUGCUGCCGGUUAAGCUGGAGGAGAAGAUGAUAACUCGACACUGUAAAAACAUUUGAAAGUAUUUAAAGAUGAAAACGCGAGUCCUACAAUUAGCGGCUAGCUGAACUUGACAAUGUGAAACUAUUUUGACCGUUAAGUCAGCUUUGCUUUCCGGUCACAUUCAUUAUCUCACUUUGAAGUUGAAUUAAGGUCACUUCAUGUGCCACAAAAUCCUUUCAGCUCUUCCAGUUGCUGUUGGUCAAAAGUCACUUUCAAAGUAUACGCUAAAACGAAAGAGCAUCUCAGUGACGGUUAAAACAAGCAGUGUUAAACGUUAUCAUCGUUAUGUAGAUCUACAUACCGUUAAUCUUCUUAAAUCUGACAAAUACUUAUCAUAAAGAAAGGGCACCCUAAGACAGUGAACCCUAAAAUAAUGUAUGUUGGCGAACAAAAAAAAAGGCUGAAAAUGUCAGUUAACUUCACUAAAUAUUGACGCCUUUAUUAAGUCAAAGCAGCGUGACAUCAUGAAGUGUUCGGGGCAAAGGCCGGUACCCGAGGAGAAACGCUGUAGAUACAGAAUCUGAACUCAGAACCUGAGUAGACCCGGGUCACAACGACACAACACACCUAAAGGAGCCUUUUCCUAUCAAACACACAACAACUGCACCGCUUUCCUCCGGCUACGAACCCAAAACAUUCAACCCUAAACUUCAGAUCCACGCACACACACACGCACACACACGCACACACACACGUCUCUGUCUAUUAUUUACGAGCGGUUAUGCUGCGGUUCAAACAGAGGACAGCAGACAAACCCGGAAAUGUGACAUCGGAUUGUUAAAUAUCACUGAGUCUCACCUCUUCAACCCGAGCAGCUGUAAGAGCUCUGAUAAGCGAACGUGAAAGGCACGGCCUUUAACUUAACAUUUCGGAUCACUAUAUAUUAUAGCCAUCUCUAUCAAUUUUAUUGAGCUAUGUUGUUGUAAAAAAAAAAAAGAUAAGAUAAUUGUUGCCCAUAAAAGUAAAAAAGCAAAGAAAUCAUUUCCAUUACUUUUUUCUGAGUGACUGCAUUAAAGAGCUAUGAUGAAGUGACACAAUCAGCAGAGUAUUCAACCUAAACCUUCUUUUUUUCAGCUCUAACUAUAAAAUAGUCCUGCAAAAAAAAAUGAAGAAACUGAAGAAACGGGAUAUGUGAAGGAGCCGUAUUGAUUCUUCAAAUCAAGAAGAUGACCCAUGGAGGGUGACUGGAUUGAAAUGUAGUAGGUUGCUCGACACAAUAAAAAAGGGCUCCUAAUUAAAAACGUCUUGGCGUUUGGAUCAAGAGGAGCAAGAGCCGUUUGCUGAUGCCAGCGCUUCUCUUAUUGGCACGCCAAUAAUUCACAGACCUUCCAGGGAGUCGAGUGGAUUAGCCCAACUGGACCCGAGAAUUCACAGGAAGGGACAAAAACUUUGCUGCACGCGGCAAUGAAUACAUUGACUUUCUAAUUUUCGCAAGACAAAUGUUGCUGAUGAAGCAAUCGGUUCGGGAACCGAAGCACUGAAGCUCAAUUUUUGCGCCCUGAGCCUCCCAUUCGUCACAUGGACAGCCGCGGCCUGCGGUUACCGCCUGGAUUUGCUUACCGUCCACACGCUCACUUAUCAAACGGGAAACUGAAGCUAAAUGUCAUAUGGAUUGUUUUUAGCUUGAUGAGCACGAGUUCAGCUACAUGUGUGUGUGUGUAGCUUCUCUGUCCGUUGAAAUAAUCCUCCCAGGUGUGUUUGUUUGUUCAGAUCCUGCGUCUGAGCAUCUGAUACGUCUGGGCCGACCUCUGUGGCAGUGACCCAGAUGUUUUGAUUGAUUUGUAAAGUCAUUCAAAUCUCAGCUGGAGAAUAAAGGACUUGAUGUCGUCAGCAUGGAGUUUGAAGAUAAGCCUAAAAUAAGCCGCAAUUAUCAGGUGGCCACGCAUAUUACGCUUCAGCGCACAAGCUCGCUCACACAAAGACCACCUCAUUCUCUCCCAUUCGUAUCCAUUAUGUUUCCCUUUGACCGUGACCUCGUCGCAACAUCAAAGGAGAAGCUACUUGACUUCUAACUCAUCAUGCGUCCAAGCCAAUUUUCGGGUUCGCGGUGGCGUUUCGUUAAAAAAAGGGGCCGGCAUCACGCAUCAUUACUGCUCGAGGAGAGCAUGCAGAGAACCUCACU